GGAGCUGUGCCUGACAAAAGGGCCACUUUGAUAGAGUGAACCAUGAGGGUUAAAAUCCCUCCAUCUCCUU
rnacentral:tRNA from 1 species